AUGAGAUUGUGGGGAUUUCUCCUUUGCCUGGUGACAGCUUCCCAAGGUGUCCUGUCCGACGUGCAGCUGCAGGAGUCGGGCCCAGGACUGGUGAAGCCCUCACAGACCCUCUCCCUCACCUGCACCGUCUCUGGUUUCUCCAUCACCAGUGGUUAUGGUUGGAGCUGGAUCCACCAGCCCACGGGGAAGAGCCUUGAGUGGAUGGGAUACAUUAGUUAUAGUGGAAGCACAGCUUAUAACCCGUCCCUCAAGAGCCGCACCUCCAUCACCAGAGACACGUCCAAGAACCAGUUCUCCCUGCAGCUGAGCUCUGUGACCGACGAGGACACAGGCGUGUAUUACUGUGUGAGAGACACAGUGACAGGAAGUCAUCUGUCCUGGAUGGAGAAGCAGCUGCCUGAGGGCCAGACACAGCUCUUCCACUUCUAUGUGGAGGUUUCAGGGUGA